AAAGUGAUAUGACAGGUAUUAAUAUAUAAUCAACUCGAAUAUAUUUGGAACUAGAAAGACAUAACAACUGGUGUUUAUUAUACUAGUACUAAUGAUACACUCAUACAUCAUUGCAUGUGUACUUUUAUCGGUUCUUAAUCACAAGGUUUCUGUGUUCGUUGUCGGUAAAAAGAUCAUCAAACGGGGGCAGAUGUAAUGUUAAUCAUUACUAGUAUUCAUGAAUAUUUGUUGUAGUUAAGUGUCUUUUGAUUUAUCGCUAUUGUUGUUUUAAAAUGUAAAUGAUUAUUAUACUGUAAGUGCAUGCAUUUGAUCUUUGUUUCGCGCCAUUGAUUUUCACUUUACGGAAUAUACAGGGUGUCCCAAAAAGCCCGAAAACCAUUGAAAUCACUUAUUGUUAAAAUUGAAUGCCCUACCAAAAAGCUGAACGUAAUGAUGCGUAAAAUAUUGACAAGGUGCAUGUAUUAAAAUUUAGUUAAGAAC